rnacentral:lncRNA from 1 species
GUCUAGCUCUGACUCAAAAACCCAUAUUCCUUCCCAAGCCCCAGCAAGCCCUGCAAGCCUCUGGCUUGGGAUGGGAAAAGCGCUCCCAUCCUGCAGUCAGCUCUGGGCUCGCACAAGGCUCCUCUGGACUCCUUUGUGGUUCAGGAGCCCCGGCGGAUGCUGUGUCACAGAGAAAUCCUGGUAUGGACAACGCAUGUACUCUGUUCCCUUUGAGUCUUGAUGGGUUUGGUUAGCAAAGAGACUCAUUUACGCUUCUGUGUAAAUAAAGGAUGGCAGGAUGGAGCUUAGUACCUGAGAAAGAAUAUGGAAGUCACCCAAAGGACCCA